GGGGAAAAAUUAAUAAAAUAUAUAUAAAUAAUAAAAAAAUUUUUAAUAUUGGGGGGUAUUGAAGUAUUUUUUUAAGAAAAAAUAAAAUAUUUUAUAGUUAAUUAGUAUUGAAAAAGAAAUUUGAAAUAAUUGAAAAUAAAUUAAUUAAAAAGUAAUUUUAAUUUAAUGUAUCUUGUGUAUCAGAGUUUAUUAAAAAAUAUUUUUUAAAUAAAAAAAUCUCGAAUUUAAAAGAGUUAAUUAAUUAUAAAAGUUAAUGUAGAAAAAUUAUUUUAAAUAAUUAAUUUGAAAUGAAAUGUUAAUCGUUUUUAAAUAUAUCUAGUUAUUUUAGAAAAAAAUUUAAUUUAAAAUUUAAAAAAUUUUAUUAUUAAAUUAUAUUAAUAAUUAAAAUAUUUAAAAUUAAAUAUAUUAAGGGAUAAGCUUUAAUAUAAAAAUUUAUAAUAAAUUAAAUAUACAUAUUUAAAAAUUUUAAAAUUUAUAUUGUUUAAAAAUUAUAAUUUAUUAUAAAAAAUUUUAAAAAUAAUAAAAUUUAAUUUAAAAUUUAAUUUUAUAUAAAAUAAAUAAUUUAAAAUAAAAAAAAAUUAAAAAUAAUGAUAAAAUUAGUAUAUUAAAAUAAAAUAGAAUUUAAUUAAUGAAAAUUAAAUUAAAGGAAUUCGGCAAAAAUUUAUAUUCACUUGUUUAUCAAAAACAUGUCUUUUAGGGAAUAAUUUAAAGUCUAAUCUGCCCACUGAUAAUUUAUUAAAGGGCUGCAGUAUAUUGACUGUACAAAGGUAGCAUAAUCAAUAGUCUUUUAAUUGAAGACUUGUAUGAAAGAUUUGAUGAAAUAUAAACUGUCUCUAACUUAUAAGUAGAAUUUAAUUUUUUAGUUAAAAAGCUAAAAUAAAUUUAAAAGACGAGAAGACCCUAUAGAGUUUUAUAUUAAUGUUAUUUAAGAUUAUAUUUAUAAUUAAAAAUUAAAAAUAAAAAUAAUAUUUUAUUGGGGUGAUAAAAAAAUUAAUAUAACUUUUUUUAAAAAUAAUACAUAAAUAAGUGAUUAACUGAUCCAUUUUUUUAUGAUUAAAAGAAAAAAUUACCUUAGGGAUAACAGCGUAAUAUUUUUUUUUAGUACAAAUAAAAAAAAAAGUUUGCGACCUCGAUGUUGGAUUAAGAUAAAAUUUAAAUGCAAAAGUUUAAAAUUUUGAUCUGUUCGAUCAUUAAAAUCUUACAUGAUCUGAGUUCAAACCGGUGUAAGCCAGGUUGGUUUCUAUCUUUAAAAUAAUAAAAUAUUUUAGUACGAAAGGAUCAAUUAUUUUUAAUAAUUAAAAUUUAAUGAAUAUUAAUAAUUAAUAAUUA
rnacentral:rRNA from 1 species